UACGUAGGGGGCAAGCGUUGUUCGGAAUUACUGGGCGUAAAGGGCGCGUAGGCGGCACGGCAAGUCAGGAGUGAAAGCCCGGGGCUCAACCCCGGAAUGUCUUUUGAAACUGCCGAGCUAGAGUGCGGAAGAGGCAACUGGAAUUCCCAGUGUAGCGGUGAAAUGCGUAGAUAUCAGGAGGAAUACCGGUGGCGAAAGCGACUCUCUGGACGGCAACUGACGCUGAGGCACGAAAGCGUGGGGAGCAAACAGG
rnacentral:rRNA from 1 species